GCCGAGGGGUCCCCUGGUGCCCUCGCGGCGGAAGUGAGGGCUGCGGGGAGGCGGGAAGGCGGACCUGAGGGGCUGGGCAGGGACCACACCUCCGAGCCAGCAGGGCAGGCAAAGGCCGGGGCCCGAAGACGACCCCCGGCGACGGGACGCGCGCCGCCCGUGGGCCAAGCCGCGCAGACUGGGCCUCCCGAGACCGGAAGCUGCCGGAGCCCGGCCCGAUCUGCCAGGCCGGCGCCGGCGGCCCCACUCACCGAUGAGCCGGCGCACCUCGUCCUCGCUCAGGAGUGAGAUGCCAGACCCACAAGGCUUUCACAGAAUUUAACUGGAGAAGAUGUGACUAAACACCUAAGCAGACACUGGACUGGGUAUAUUUAACCCAUCACGCUGGAAAGAAUCAAGCAGCACAGAAAUAGGAACAUCUUCUUUGACACAACCUGUCAUCUCUCUCCUGUAUCUCCCAGCUUGGUGUAUGUUCUUAUAAUCCUUUCUCUAGAAAUUUACCUACAUAUAUAUGUACUUAGACAUGCAACUAUAUGUGUGUAUUGUUUUUACCAGUUCUACAGAAAUGGAAUCAUACAGAAGGUAAUAACGGUCUACACAGUUUGCUUUUUUCACUAAUCAAAAUAAAUUGAGGUCUUGAGGAUGCUUGUGUGACAGGGCGUAUGGAGGCACAUCCAUGGUGUUCUUUCAGUUGGGAUGGACCACGACAGAUUUCAAAGUUCUGGUGAUAGACCACACAUCCUUGCACAAAUGUAGAUAUUUAGAAGGGUAGGUUCUCAGUAGAAAUGCUUUCAAUGUUGACAGAUCUCACUGAAUUGCCCUCUGACAGAGUACCAAUAUAAACUGCCACCAAUGGCAUAAAUGACAGAGAUGAGGUAAUAAAUCAGUGUUUUUUACUUUGGUUUUGA